GUGCACCAGGCGCGAAACCUCCGCAAUACACGAAAGUGUGACGGGGCCAUCCCGAGUGCCGUCCGCUGAGGACGGCUUUCCCCAGUGUACAUAGCUGGGGGAAUAAGGAGAGGGCAAGCCUGGUGUCAGCCGCCGCGGUAAUACCAGCUCUCCGAGUGGUGGGGACGCUUAUUGGGCCUAAAGCAUCCGUAGCCGGCUGGGCAAGUCCUCCGUUAAAUCCAACGAUUCAAUCGUUGGGCUGCGGGGGAUACUGUCCAGCUUGGGGGCGGGAGAGGCCGACGGUAUUCCCGGGGUAGGGGUGAAAUCCUAUAAUCCCGGGAGGACCACCAGUGGCGAAGGCUGUCGGCUAGAACGCGCCCGACGGUGAGGGAUGAAAGCUGGGGGAGCGAACCGGAUUAGAUA
rnacentral:rRNA from 1 species